rnacentral:misc_RNA from 1 species
GAAUGCCAAGUUGACCCAUGAAAUUGAGCUCUUAAAACUAAAUCUUGCGCAAAAUGAAAAUGCCAUGCUUGCAAUGCAAGCUUUAUCUGAUGAGUAAAAAAUUAUGAAUUAAAUAAGUACACAGGUCAUGUGUUAAAAUGU